rnacentral:rRNA from 1 species
GCACCGAGCGGAUGAGUUGCGAACGGGUGAGUAACGCGUAGGUAACCUGCCUCUUAGCGGGGGAUAACUAUUGGAAACGAUAGCUAAUACCGCAUAAAAGUCGACAUUGCAUGAUGUUGACUUGAAAGGUGCAAUUGCAUCACUAAGAGAUGGACCUGCGUUGUAUUAGCUAGUUGGUGAGGUAACGGCUCACCAAGGCGACGAUACAUAGCCGACCUGAGAGGGUGAUCGGCCACACUGGGACUGAGGCACGGCCCAGACUCCUACGGGAGGCAGCAGUAGGGAAUCUUCGGCAAUGGGGGCAACCCUGACCGAGCAACGCCGCGUGAGUGAAGAAGGUUUUCGGAUCGUAAAGCUCUGUUGUAAGAGAAGAACGAGUGUGAGAGUGGAAAGUUCACACUGUGACGGUAACUUACCAGAAAGGGACGGCUAACUACGUGCCAGCAGCCGCGGUAAUACGUAGGUCCCGAGCGUUAUCCGGAUUUAUUGGGCGUAAAGCGAGCGCAGGCGGUUAGAUAAGUCUGAAGUUAAAGGCUGUGGCUUAACCAUAGUACGCUCUGGAAACUGUUUAACUUGAGUGCAGAAGGGGAGAGUGGAAUUCCAUGUGUAGCGGUGAAAUGCGUAGAUAUAUGGAGGAACACCGGUGGCGAAAGCGGCUCUC